UACGUAGGGUCCGAGCGUUGUCCGGAAUUACUGGGCGUAAAGAGCUCGUAGGUGGUUUGUCGCGUUGUUCGUGAAAACUCACAGCUUAACUGUGGGCGUGCGGGCGAUACGGGCAGACUGGAGUACUGCAGGGGAGACUGGAAUUCCUGGUGUAGCGGUGAAAUGCGCAGAUAUCAGGAAGAACACCCGUGGCGAAGGCGGUUCUCUGGGACGGUACUGACGCUGGAGACGCGAAAGCCGUGGGGAGCGAACAGG
rnacentral:rRNA from 1 species